AGCAGCUGCAUCUUCGCUGUUGCCAUUUCUUCCAUCACAAAGCUCCUGUGGAACAUCUCUCAGGAAAACAAGCCUGGAUGCAUCAGAGAGCUGGCAACACACAUCCACCAGAUAAUUAGAUUGAAAGAAAACCACCCCUCUGAAGACAAUGAGAUGAUAAAAGAGAUCAAGAAAAAGGAAAAAGAGCAGAUGCUGGUGUCACCACUCAGUGGGGACUUCUUUGUCUUCCAGGAGGUCAUCAUAUGGGGACAGCAGUGUGGGCACGCACCUCACUGCAAGCAACGCUUUUCCAUCA